GAUGAACGCUGGCGGCGUGCCUAAUACAUGCAAGUCGAGCGAACAGACGAGGAGCUUGCUCCUCUGACGUUAGCGGCGGACGGGUGAGUAACACGUGGAUAACCUACCUAUAAGACUGGGAUAACUUCGGGAAACCGGAGCUAAUACCGGAUAAUAUAUUGAACCGCAUGGUUCAAUAGUGAAAGACGGUUUUGCUGUCACUUAUAGAUGGAUCCGCGCCGCAUUAGCUAGUUGGUAAGGUAACGGCUUACCAAGGCAACCAUGCGUAGCCGACCUGAGAGGGUGAUAGGCCACACUGGAGCUGGGACACGGUCCAGACUCCUACGGGAGGCAGCAGUAGGGAAUCUUCCGCAAUGGGCGAAAGCCUGACGGAGCAACGCCGCGUGAGUGAUGAAGGUCUUCGGAUCGUAAAAAUCUGUUAUUAGGGAAGAACAAAUGUGUAAGUAACUAUGCACGUCUUGACGGUACCUAAUCAGAAAGCCACGGCUAACUACGUG
rnacentral:rRNA from 1 species